GCUUUGAUUAUUUUUUAGGUGCAAGCAGAAGAGCCUUUACAAAUCCUUGAGAAAGUAAGUUGCAGAAAACCCUUCUUUCAGCUUCCAUCAUGCCCUAAAGCCACUUGUGGACAAAGUGGUCUGAUGUGGCACGUGUGCUGGGCGUCAGUCACCUGUUCCUUAGCAACUGACACAACAGGGAAGCACCUGUGGCACCAAUUUACUGAAAAGAGUCUUUCACGGGUUUUAAAGCAGCUCGAAACAAAAGCUGCGAGCUGUGUGAGAAACCCCGAAGCUGUGCGAGCACAUAUCUGAUCACAUGCAGUGUCAAAAACCGACAAAUACCCCGAAAUAGCCAUGGAUAUUUGCUUAUGCACGUUUUAUUUUUGGAUGGUGACCUUUGGGUUUAGAUGAUGGAAAACAAGUUCUACUAUAAUAACGUUGCAUGUAGCCUACAAUUUUAAUAGAAUUUAUGUAUUGUAUUUUUUUUUAUUAAAUAAACAAAUCCUGACUAUU